GAUGAACGCUAGCUACAGGCUUAACACAUGCAAGUCGAGGGACCGGCGCACGGGUGAGUAACACGUAUCCAACCUGCCCUUUACUCGGGGAUAGCCUUUCGCAAGAAAGAUUAAUACCCGAUGUAAAGGAUGGGGAUGCGUUCCAUUCGUUUGUUGGUGAGGUAACGGCUCACCAAGCCUUCGAUGGAUAGGGGUUCUGAGAGGAAGGUACACCAGAAUGGAACUGAGACACGGACCAAACUCCGACGCGAGGGAGGAGUGAGGAAUAUUGGUCAAUGGGCGUUAGCCUGAACCAGCCAAGUAUAGGGAAGGAGGAAGGCUUAUGGGUCGUAAACUUCUGUUAUAUAAGAAGAUGUAUUAGAUGAAUAAGGAUCGGCUAACUCCGUGCCAGCCGCCGCGGUAAUUC
rnacentral:rRNA from 1 species